CAGUCGCCGCGGUAAUACGAAGGGGGCUAGCGUUGUUCGGAUUUACUGGGCGUAAAGCGCACGUAGGCGGAUCGAUCAGUCAGGGGUGAAAUCCCAGAGCUCAACUCUGGAACUGCCUUUGAUACUGGGUAUCUUGAGUAUGGAAGAGGUGAGUGGAAUUCCGAGUGUAGAGGUGAAAUUCGUAGAUAUGCGGAGGAACACCGAUGGCGAAGGCAGCCCCCUGGGCCAAUACUGACGCUCAUGCACGAAAGCGUGGGGAGCAAACAGGAUUAGAUACCCCAGUAGUCCCUGUCUCUUAUAC
rnacentral:rRNA from 1 species